AUUGAACGCUGGCGGCAGGCUUAACACAUGCAAGUCGAGCGGAGUGAUGGUGCUUGCACUAUCACUUAGCGGCGGACGGGUGAGUAAUGCUUAGGAAUCUGCCAUUUAGUGGGGGACAACAUUCCGAAAGGAAUGCUAAUACUGCAUACGUCCUACGGGAGAAAGCAGGGGAUCGUCGGCUCUUGCGCUCAGUGAUGAGGCUAAGUCGGAUUAGCUAGUUGGUGGGGUAAAGGCCUGCCAAUGCGACGAUCUGUAGCGGGUCUGAGAGGAUGAUCCGCCACACUGGGACGGAGACACGGCCCAGACUCCUACGGGAGGCAGCAGUGGGGAAUAUUGGACAAUGGGCGGAAGCCUGAUCCAGCCAUGCCGCGUGUGUGAAGAAGGCCUUUUGGUUGUAAAGCACUUUAAGCGAGGAGGAGGCUCUCCUAGUUAAUACCUAGGAAUAGUGGACGUUACUCGCAGAAUAAGCACCGGCUAACUCUGUGCCAGCCGCCGCCGUAAAAC
rnacentral:rRNA from 1 species